rnacentral:rRNA from 1 species
UACGUAGGGGGCAAGCGUUGUCCGGAUUUAUUGGGCGUAAAGAGCGUGUAGGCGGCCUGGCAAGUCCGCUGUGAAAACUCGAGGCUUAACCUCGAGACGUCGGUGGAAACUGCUUGGCUAGAGUCCGGAAGAGGAGAGUGGAAUUCCUGGUGUAGCGGUGAAAUGCGCAGAUAUCAGGAGGAACACCGAUGGCGAAGGCAGGUCUCUGGGCAUUAACUGACGCUGAGGAGCGAAAGCAUGGGGGAGCGAACAGG